AUGGACAUGAGGGCCCCUGUUCAGCUCCUUGGCCUCUUGCUGCUCUGGCUCCCAGAUGCCAGGUGUGACAUCCAGAUGACCCACUCUCCACCCUCCCUGUCUGCAUCUCUAGGAGAGACAGUCACCAUUACUUGCAAGGCGAGUCAGAGCAUUAGCACUUGGUUAGCCUGGUAUCAGCAGAAACCAGGGAAAAGCCCUAAACUCUUGACCUAUGGUGCAUCCACUUUGCAAUCUGGAGUCCCAUCGAGGUUCAAAGGCAGUGGGUCUGAGACAGACUUCACUCUCACCAUCAGCAGCCUGGAGGCAGAGGAUAGUGGAAUUUAUUACUGUCAACAGUCUUUUACAUCUCUGGUCGGAUAUAUCCCUAAGUAUUUUAUUGCUCCUAUGCUCAUAUGCAAGUUCAAGCUGAAACUGAAGAAAAUCAGAGCAAGUCCACGAGAGCCAAAAUAUGACCUUGAGUAUAAAAACAACUCCAUCUGAAUUUAGAGACCAUCUGAAGAAUAGAUUUGACACAUUGAACACUAGUGACAGAAGACCAGACAAGUUGUAGAAUGACAUUAAGGACAUCAUACACGAAGAAAGCAAGAGGUCAUUGAAAAGACAGGAAAGAAAGAAAAGAACAAGAUGGAUGUCAGAGGAGACUCUGAAACUUGCUCUCAAAUGUCGAGCAGCUAAAUCAAAGCGAAGAAUUGAUGAAAUAAAAGAACUGAACAAAAGACUUCAAAGGGUAUCGCGAGAAGACAAAGUAAAGUAUUAUAACAACAUCUGCAAAGAGCAGGAGAUGGAAAACCAAAAGGGAAGAACACGCUCAAUGUUUCUCAAGCUGAAAGAACUGAAGAAAAAAUCCAAGCCUCAAGUUGCAAUAGUGAAGGAUUCUACGGGGAAAAUAUUAAAUGAUGCAGGAAGCAUCAAAAGAAGAUGAAAGGAAGACACAGAGUCAUUAUACCAAAAAGAAUCAGUUGAUGUUUAACCAUUUCAAGAGGUGGCAUAUGAUCAAGAACUGGUGGUACUGAAGGAAGAAGUCCAAGCUGCUCUGAAGGCAUUGGCAAAAAACAAGGCUCCAGGAAUUGAUGGAAUAUCAAUUGAGAUGUUUCAACAAACAGAUGCAGCGCUGGAGGUGCUCACUUGUCUAUGCCAAGAAAUAUGGAAGACAGCUUCCUGACCAACUGACUGGAAGAGAUCCAUAUUUAUGCCUAUUCCCAAGAAAGGUGGUCCAACUGAAUGU